AACGAACGCUGGCGGCAGGCCUAACACAUGCAAGUCGAGCGCCCCGCAAGGGGAGCGGCGGACGGGUGCGUAACGCGUGGGAACGUGCCCUUUGCUACGGAAUAGCACCGGGAAACUGGGAGUAAUACCGUAUAAGCCCUACGGGGGAAAGAUUUAUCGGCAAAGGGACGGCCCGCGUUGGAUUAGGUAGUUGGUGGGGUAAUGGCCUACCAAGCCGACGAUCCAUAGCUGGUUUGAGAGGAUGAUCAGCCACACUGGGACUGAGACACGGGCCAUACUCCUACGGAAGGCAGCAGUGGGGAAUCUUAGACAAAGUGCGAAAGCCUGAUCUAGCCAUGCCGCGUGAGCGAUGAAGGCCUUAGGGUUGUAAAGCUCUGUCGUGGUGGAAGAUAAUGACUGUACCCCAAGAAGAAGCCCCGGCUAACUCCGUGCCAGCAGCCGCCGUAAAAC
rnacentral:rRNA from 1 species